rnacentral:rRNA from 1 species
AGAAUCAACGCUGGCGGCGUGCCUAACACAUGCAAGUCGAACGCGAAAGGGGAGCAAUCCCUGAUUAGAGUGGCAAACGGGUGAGUAACACGUGGGUGACCUGCCUUCGAGUGGGGGAUAACCUUCCGAAAGGAGGGCUAAUACCGCAUGACAUACCGUGUUUGGAUACACGGAUAUCAAAGCCGGGAUCGCAAGACCUGGCGCUUGAAGAGGGGCCCGCGUCCGAUUAGCUAGUUGGUGGGGUAACGGCUCACCAAGGCUCCGAUCGGUA